UACAGAGGUCUCAAGCGUUGUUCGGAUUCAUUGGGCGUAAAGGGUGCGUAGGCGGCGCGGUAAGUCGGGUGUGAAAUUUCGGAGCUUAACUCCGAAACUGCAUUCGAUACUGCGGUGCUUUGAGGACUGGAGAGGAGACUGGAAUUCAUGGUGUAGCAGUGAAAUGCGUAGAGAUCAUGAGGAAGACCAGUGGCGAAGGCGGGUCUCUGGACAGUUCCUGACACUGAGGCACGAAGGCCAGGGGAGCAAACGGG
rnacentral:rRNA from 1 species